UACAGAGGUCUCGAGCGUUGUUCGGAUUCAUUGGGCGUAAAGGGUGCGUAGGUGGCGGGGCAAGUCAGGUGUGAAAUCUCGGGGCUCAACCCCGAAACUGCACUUGAUACUGCUUUGCUAGAGUAUUGGAGAGGAGAUUGGAAUUUACGGUGUAGCAGUGAAAUGCGUAGAUAUCGUAAGGAACACCGGUGGCGAAGGCGGCAUCCUGGACCAAUACUGACGCUAAGGAGCGAAAGCUAGGGGAGCAAACGGG
rnacentral:rRNA from 1 species